GAUGAAGAACGUAGUGAAAUGCGAUAAGUAAUGUGAAUUGCAGAAUUCAGUGAAUCAUCGAAUCUUUGAACGCACAUUGCGCCCCUCGGUAUUCCGAGGGGCAUGUCUGUUCGAGCGUCAUUAUAACCCUUCAAGCUCAGCUUGGUGUUGGGGCCUGCUGUAACUGGUAGCCCUUAAAAUCAGUGGCAGUGCUAUUAGGCUCUAAGCGUAGUAAUUCUUCUCGCUAUAGUGUGUAGUGAGCGCUUGCCAGAACCCCAAACUUUUAUAUGAUUGACCUCGGAUCAGGUAGGGAUACCCGCUGAACUUAAGCAUAUCAAUAAGCGGAGGA
rnacentral:misc_RNA from 1 species